rnacentral:rRNA from 1 species
UCCCAGACUCCUACGGGAGGCAGCAGUGGGGAAUAUUGCACAAUGGGGGAAACCCUGAUGCAGCGACGCCGCGUGAAGGAAGAAGUAUUUCGGUAUGUAAACUUCUAUCAGCAGGGAAGAAAAUGACGGUACCUGACUAAGAAGCCCCGGCUAACUACGUGCCAGCAGCCGCGGUAAUACGUAGGGGGCAAGCGUUAUCCGGAUUUACUGGGUGUAAAGGGAGCGUAGGCGGCGAUGCAAGUCAGAAGUGAAAGCCCGGGGCUCAACUCCGGGACUGCUUUUGAAACUGUGUUGCUAGAUUGCAGGAGAGGUAAGUGGAAUUCCUAGUGUAGCGGUGAAAUGCGUAGAUAUUAGGAGGAACACCAGUGGCGAAGGCGGCCUGCUGGACGACAACUGACGGUGAGGCGCGAAAGCGUGGGGAGCAAACAGGAUUAGAUACCCGAGUA